UUUUUUUUUUUUUUUUUUUUUACCAUUCUUUUUUCUAUUUUCUGGCUUUUGUUUGUUGAGCUCUCCACUAUGGAAUUUUAUGAUUUGUAAUUUUUAUUAUCUUUAAUGAUUAGACUAAUCAAAAAUGUUAUUUGGUAUUAACUUUGUAUGAAGGAGCAGUUGCCCCGCUGGCAUUUUGUCUCCCAGGACGUUCAUAAAAGAAACACAUUCUCACUGUACAAGUGGUAUCUUUAUAUUCCCUUCGAGUAUUUUCAAUGAUGACGAUUUUUACACGAAUUGUUUGUUUCAUAAAUAAUUACUAACUCAAGAAAUAUACAAAUUUUUUAGGUGUCUUUCUAUUUUUAUGAUGAACGAAGUUACUGUGAGAAAAGUUUACGAAGUAUGAAAGUAUAGUCUCUUGAGAAUUGUAGUGAGCACAACAUUUUAUGAAACGAGGAAUGACCUAGAGAGAGAGGAGAUAGAUGAUCUAGAAAGUAAAAAAUUAAUUCUAUUUUACAUUGUGGGUUUAUAAGUACUUUGGGCUCUAUGUUUGAGAAUAUGCUUACAUAUGCUGUUUGUUGAAUUAGGAUACAUUACUCCUCCAGGUAAAAAUGUUCGGCCUAUACUCUUUGGAAGUGGAUCUAUUGGGUUUGGCCCGUGCUUCUGAAUAAACAUUCUCGUGUUUGUAUUCCUGGUUGGGAACUAUUUUAACAUUAAUUCUCUUCUUUUCCUUUAUUUCUUUCACUUUUUAAUGCCCUUUUUUCUUCAUUUAUAACAUUGUGCAGCAUUUGAGUAAUCAUCUUGAAAUAUUUCCCAACAGGAGGGUUCAACACCCUUGAACCUAUAUGUUGAGGAUGAAUUCCAUCAUUCUGCAUGAGCUGGGGCUGAAGGUGUCAAAAGAAUUACAAAUUAUGCUCCAGUAAAACAUAUGCUGGAUGAUCAUAAUAAUCUUGUAGUUUCCUCUCACUUUUUUGACCUUUUAUUGCUUUGUAAAAGAUUUUAUUGCAUUGUCUUUGAAAUCAUUAAACAGAGCAAUGAACAAAGGGUUCUCUUAUGCCUUAUACCUUGAUUCGAUGAAUAAGCGAUAUACUGAAGAGGUCUCUUCUUGUAAUGUCUUCAUUUUGAAGGAAUUCAACUAAUCAUUUUUCAUACUGAUUAACACGAUAUAUUUUUUUCUAGGAAACUAUGGUUUAUUUUCUUAAAUUACUUUGUGGUCUUACUCAGAUUUACAAGUAAUUAUAUAAUUCAUCGACUUGUAUGGGGAAAUGUUCUUUCUACGCCAACAACCAAUGGAUUAAGUUUCAGAGAGUGAAUCUAAAGGAAUUUGACUGCAUAUGUUCCAAAAUCCAUUAUUUUUCCUAGCGUGCUAUCCUUUCGUGUAUUCGAACUUUCUAUCAAUUCGUAGUUAUCUUCGUAGAUUAGAGCUCAAAGAAUUUUUCCCAAAUAUGCCAGGUUGAAGAAUGUCCUAUUCCAUUUGAAGAAUUACUUGAUGCUGACGAAGUUUUAUGCACAAGUUAUUUUACUCUUAACAUCAUUCUUAAAUAGAGUUUAAAGCACAUCUCUCAAUAUGUAACAUCUUUUCCUGGUGUAGGUGCUACCUGGAGGACUACAAGCAGGAUCAAUGAUUGUCAUCUUUGGGUUGGAGCAAUAGGAUUAGUUGUAUGAUCUUCCACGUGAUAUAACAAUAA
rnacentral:lncRNA from 1 species